UACGGGGGGAGCAAGCGUUGUUCGGAUUUACUGGGCGUAAAGGGCGCGUAGGCGGCGCAACAAGUCACUUGUGAAAUCUCCGGGCUUAACCCGGAAAGGUCAACUGAUACUGCAGGGCUAGAGUGCAGAAGGGGCAACUGGAAUUCUCGGUGUAGCGGUGAAAUGCGUAGAUAUCGAGAGGAACACCUGCGGCGAAGGCGGGUUGCUGGGCUGACACUGACGCUGAGGCGCGAAAGCUAGGGGAGCGAACGGG
rnacentral:rRNA from 1 species